GGUGACGAGCGGCGGACGGGUGAGUAAUGUCUGGGAAACUGCCUGAUGGAGGGGGAUAACUACUGGAAACGGUAGCUAAUACCGCAUAACGUCGCAAGACCAAAGAGGGGGACCUUCGGGCCUCUUGCCAUCAGAUGUGCCCAGAUGGGAUUAGCUAGUAGGUGGGGUAACGGCUCACCUAGGCGACGAUCCCUAGCUGGUCUGAGAGGAUGACCAGCCACACUGGAACUGAGACACGGUCCAGACUCCUACGGGAGGCAGCAGUGGGGAAUAUUGCACAAUGGGCGCAAGCCUGAUGCAGCCAUGCCGCGUGUAUGAAGAAGGCCUUCGGGUUGUAAAGUACUUUCAGCGGGGAGGAAGGUGUUGAGGUUAAUAACCUCAGCAAUUGACGUUACCCGCAGAAGAAGCACCGGCUAACUCCGUGCCAGCAGCCGCGGUAAUACGGAGGGUGCAAGCGUUAAUCGGAAUUACUGGGCGUAAAGCGCACGCAGGCGGUCUGUCAAGUCGGAUGUGAAAUCCCCGGGCUCAACCUGGGAACUGCAUUCGAAACUGGCAGGCUAGAGUCUUGUAGAGGGGGGUAGAAUUCCAGGUGUAGCGGUGAAAUGCGUAGAGAUCUGGAGGAAUACCGGUGGCGAAGGCGGCCCCCUGGACAAAGACUGACGCUCAGGUGCGAAAGCGUGGGGAGCAAACAGGAUUAGAUACCCUGGUAGUCCACGCCGUAAACGAUGUCGACUUGGAGGUUGUGCCCUUGAGGCGUGGCUUCCGGAGCUAACGCGUUAAGUCGACCGCCUGGGGAGUACGGCCGCAAGGUUAAAACUCAAAUGAAUUGACGGGGGCCCGCACAAGCGGUGGAGCAUGUGGUUUAAUUCGAUGCAACGCGAAGAACCUUACCUACUCUUGACAUCCAGAGAACUUUCCAGAGAUGGAUUGGUGCCUUCGGGAACUCUGAGACAGGUGCUGCAUGGCUGUCGUCAGCUCGUGUUGUGAAAUGUUGGGUUAAGUCCCGCAACGAGCGCAACCCUUAUCCUUUGUUGCCAGCGGUCCGGCCGGGAACUCAAAGGAGACUGCCAGUGAUAAACUGGAGGAAGGUGGGGAUGACGUCAAGUCAUCAUGGCCCUUACGAGUAGGGCUACACACGUGCUACAAUGGCGCAUACAAAGAGAAGCGACCUCGCGAGAGCAAGCGGACCUCAUAAAGUGCGUCGUAGUCCGGAUUGGAGUCUGCAACUCGACUCCAUGAAGUCGGAAUCGCUAGUAAUCGUAGAUCAGAAUGCUACGGUGAAUACGUUCCCGGGCCUUGUACACACCGCCCGUCACACCAUGGGAGUGGGUUGCAAAAGAAGUAGGUAGCUUAACCUUCGGGAGGGCGCUUACCACUUUGUGAUUCAUGACUGGGGUGAAGUCGUAACAAGGUAACCGUAGGGGAACCUGCGGUUG
rnacentral:rRNA from 1 species